AACGAACGCUGGCGGCAUGCCUAACACAUGCAAGUCGAACGAUUGCCUUCGGGUGAUAGUGGCGCACGGGUGCGUAACGCGUGGGAAUCUGCCCUUAGGUUCGGAAUAACAGCUGGAAACGGCUGCUAAUACCGGAUGAUAUCGCGAGAACAAAGAUUUAUCGCCUGAGGAUGAGCCCGCGUUGGAUUAGGUAGUUGGUGGGGUAAAGGCCUACCAAGCCGACGAUCCAUAGCUGGUCUGAGAGGAUGAUCAGCCACACUGGGACUGAGACACGGCCCAGACUCCUACGGGAGGCAGCAGUGGGGAAUAUUGGACAAUGGGCGCAAGCCUGAUCCAGCAAUGCCGCGUGAGUGAUGAAGGCCCUAGGGUUGUAAAGCUCUUUUACCCGGGAAGAUAAUGACUGUACCGGGAGAAUAAGCCCCGGCUAACUCCGUG
rnacentral:rRNA from 1 species